rnacentral:rRNA from 1 species
AUUCCCUCAGUAGCUGCGAGCGAACAGGGAAAAGCCCAGCACCGAAUCCCGCGGCCGAUACCGGACGCCGGGAAAUGUGGUGUUAGGGAGGACUCACUUUCACGAGAUCUGGUGUUGCGUCCAAGUCCUUCUUGAACGGGGCCACAGCCCAUAGAGGGUGCCAGGCCCGUAGUGACCAAUACUAAUCGCGUGUGAGUCUCUCCUUAGAGUCGGGUUGCUUGAGAGUGCAGCCCUAAGUGGGUGGUAAACUCCAUCUAAGGCUAAAUAUAACCACGAGACCGAUAGCGAACAAGUACCGUGAGGGAAAGUUGAAAAGCACUUUGAAGAGAGAGUUCAAGAGUACGUGAAACCGUUCAGGGGUAAACCUGAGAAACCCGAAAGGUCGAAAGGGGAAAUUCAUUCGUAUCUCGAUGUUGGCAUCAAAUGAUUGUAUGACAGUUAUUGUCUUGUAUAGUAGCUGCGUCUAUUGUUUGAUGAACUGAUAUCGAAUGCGUGCACUUUUCCCCAAGUAGGACGCCGCGAUCCGUUGGGUGUCGGUCUAAGGCCCAUGGUGGAGCCCAUUUGGAUAGCAUUCAUCGUGUUACUUCCGAAUGGACCCGUGGUGUUUCCCGGCCGGCUUGCUCGACGGUAUACAGAUGGCGCAGAGCCGCGACAUUAGUUCGCGUUCGGCUCGUAGCAAGCACGCCUUGAUUUGUUUCGGCGAUCGGACCUAGUGCCGUUCCUGAGCCCUGGCGACUGUUGGCUGCGAUGUUCUCGAACAGACUCUGUAAUAUGAAACGCUGAUCUGCGGCGCUAUUGCUUUGGGUACUUUCAGGACCCGUCUUGAAACACGGACCAAGGAGUCUAGCAUGUGCGCGAGUCAUUGGGACAUAACUAAACCUAAAGGCGUAAUGAAAGUAAAGGUUUGUCUUGCACAAACUGUGGGAGGAUGAGUGGUUUGCCCAUAAAGUGGCCACUCCGCACUCCCGGGGCGUCUCAUUCUUAUUGCAAGAAGAGGCGCACCAUGAGCGUACACGCUGGGACCCGAAAGAUGGUGAACUAUGCCUGGUCAGGACGAAGUCAGGGGAAACCCUGAUGGAGGUCCGUAGCGAUUCUGACGUGCAAAUCGAUCGUCGGAACUGGGUAUAGGGGCGAAAGACUAAUCGAACCAUCUAGUAGCUGGUUCCCUCCGAAGUUUCCCUCAGGAUAGCUGGCGCUCGUUGCGUACGAGUCUCAUCCGGUAAAGCGAAUGAUUAGAGGCAUUGGGGUCGAAACGACCUCAACCUAUUCUCAAACUUUAAAUGGGUGAGAUCUCCGGCUUGCUUAAAUUAUUGAAGCCGCGAGAUUUCGGAUCAGAGUGCCAAGUGGGCCAUUUUUGGUAAGCAGAACUGGCGCUGUGGGAUGAACCAAACGCUGAGUUAAAGCGCCUAAAUCGACGCUUAUGGGAUACCAUGAAAGGCGUUGGUAACUUAAGACAGCAGGACGGUGGCCAUGGAAGUCGGAAUCCGCCAAGGAGUGUGUAACAACUCACCUGCCGAAGUUACUAGCCCUGAAAAUGGAUGGCGCUGAAGCGUCGUGCUUAUACUCAGCCGUCAGUGGCAUGUGCGGUUCACAUUUGUGGGCCAUGAAGCUCUGACGAGUAGGAGGGUCGCGGCGGUGUGCGCUGAAGGGCUGGCCGUGAGGCCGUCUGGAGCCGCCGUCGGUGCAGAUCUUGGUGGUAGUAGCAAAUACUCCAGCGAGGCCCUGGAGGACUGACGUGGAGAAGGGUUUCGUGUGAACAGCCGUUGCACACGAGUCAGUCGAUCCUAAGCCCUA